UGCCUGGCGGCCGUAGCGCGGUGGUCCCACCUGACCCCAUGCCGAACUCAGAAGUGAAACGCCGUAGCGCCGAUGGUAGUGUGGGGCCUCCCCAUGCGAGAGUAGGGAACUGCCAGGCAU
rnacentral:rRNA from 1 species